AAAGAAAUUAAUAAUUACCCAAAACUACCAUGACAUGCAUUCCCAUGAGUGUAUGUAAACUUCUGACCCCUAUUGUAUCUUGGAAUAUGCUUGUAAUACAUCUAUAUUUAACUUAUAACUUGUAUGUAAUAAAAUUUGGUUUAGAUCAUGUGAUUGUGGAGCAAUGCUGAUUCAGUGUGUUUUCAGUUUUUAAACAAAUCCACAACAGUGUCACCAGCAAAGGACCCCCACCCCCACUAUCACACCACCUCCUCCAUGCUUCAUUGAUGAUAACCAUGCAUGUAGAGAUCAUCCGUUCACCUUUUCUGUGCCGCACAAAGACACGUAGUGGUUUCUUAGCAGCUAUCCAUCCAUCCAUCCUGAGAGGAGAGGCAGGGUACACUCUGGACAGGACAAGAGAAGGUGCUGGAGGCUGUGGAAAUGGCAAGUCCAUCAUAUUUCACUUUGAGGCUUCACUACGAGCGGUCCUGUCUCUGUUCGGCCCCUGCCCAGCACCACCGUCUCUCUUCAUCUUCCUCCUCACCCUCCUUCUCCUCAUCAUCCCCCUGUCCCCACACGCUUCUGCUGAUGGAUGAGCUCAUUUGCUGCAAAUCUCUAUCGAGUCAAACCGGG
ensembl:lncRNA